GCUAUUUUCUUUGACCGGAUAUCGCAUGCUUCGUCUGUUACGAUCGCUAAGGAAACCGGAUGCAGGAGUAAACGUGUGUUUUUAGGCCUGCGGGACAAUCUUCGCUCUUAGGAUGGGAAAAAUAUAACGAGACCACAUUUCGAUAGGAAUUAUGCGCAAUCCGUUUGCCAAUAAUAUCGACGAUGUCGCGGCAUACCUCGUCUAAUGCUAGAAAAUUGUCAAUUGUAUUAUUGGAUUUCCUACAUUAUUUAACCCAUCGGUAUUUAACCGGGCCAUUAAUAAAAAAAAAUUCCUUAUGUUAUUCGAUCGAGCCAUUCGAUUAUACCGGCUAUAUUAAAUAUAUGCAAUUUACUCGUAUAUACGCGAUUAUAUAAAUGAAUUAUCGCACUGUGUACAAACGAAGCAGAAUCCCUAUUUCGUUAUAUUUUGUGUUCUUCUGCAUGUACCGACUUUCGAGGUGUAUCCCCUCGGAAUAAACAGUCGAUCGUUCUAAUUGGCACAAAAUUUUAUUGUGGUAUUUGGCUUUCUUUGCGAGAUAAGAGGAAAAAAACCCGAUAAUUACGGGGAAAAAGAAAUUUUUCCGAUUCGUUCGGCGCUUAUGAGCCUCAUUUCUUCGGAUGGUUGCGCCGCCGAAAUCUUUUUGUUCCGGGAUUGUCUCCGUUUCAUUCAGGGGUCUUCAUCUUGUCGUGGCGGGGAAAAUGCGUCAAUCGUCACGGAUAACAGGCGGUGGACCUGGAACCACCGACACCUAAAAAAUUAUAGGCUAGAAACGAAAAUAUUCCUGUGCCUUUUUUUACCUCGAUUGUUUCUCUGGCCUCUUCUUCCUCUGCAUCGUACGGAUUGAUGUCGAAGAACGGAUCGGCACUGGGGCCUUCUUCCGCUUCGACACCAAUCGGCCGGAGCUCCGUGGGUUCCUUUCCGGGGCCUCCGUAAACGCGGCCCGCGUCCUCCAGAAAUUUGCGGAAUUUUCCGCCACAUGUGUCGGGCAUACCGACAGGAUCCGACCUCUAUACGUGUAUUCACAUAUGUAUUGUUGUAGGAUCCUGUCGAUAGGCAGGGAUUUUAAUUUCCUGAAAAAAUAAUAGGCAUUUGUUAUAUAUGAGGGUCGUGUCAUAGCGAGACGCCGAAAGUUACAAUGACAUUUCUGUCGGCGGCUAUAGCUUACCUUCAGAUAUCUAUUUCUGAUUUCUAUGUUGUGUGUUUGGUCGCUCGGAUUGGACACCGACACAAAUCUAUAAAACACAGAGACGGUUACGAGCCCGUUUAGCCAAUUCUUGCAAGCAUUUAACGGACAAGAGAAUCCGCUCUAUUCUUACCUCACGGGUCCUUUUGUGCUAUGAUUCACAAACUUGGCCGAAAUACCCAACUGUUCGCAACCGGUAUACUGUGGAGCCGCAUCGCUGACGAUGAUAGAACCACGCUCUAUGGCCCGAUUUCAGAGAAGUGGUCUAGACCACCUCUCUAGUGUAGAACUGGUUUAGGCCGAGGUUUUUAGAAAAUCGCAUUUCAUAAAGGUGGUUUAGAUUUAAACCUGGUCUAGAUUCAGUACAAAAACUGGUUUUAGACCUUGAUUUCUAGACCUGCCUAGAGGCUGGUCUAAACUGAGUCUGAACUUUUGAGCAUGCGCAGUUCGGACAAAAAUCUAUUAGCGUA
rnacentral:lncRNA from 1 species